rnacentral:rRNA from 1 species
AGCUUGCUGUUUCGCUGACGAGUGGCGGACGGGUGAGUAAUGUCUGGGAAACUGCCUGAUGGAGGGGGAUAACUACUGGAAACGGUAGCUAAUACCGCAUAACGUCGCAAGACCAAAGAGGGGGACCCUCGGGCCUCUUGCCAUCGGAUGUGCCCAGAUGGGAUUAGCUUGUUGGUGGGGUAACGGCUCACCAAGGCGACGAUCCCUAGCUGGUCUGAGAGGAUGACCAGCCACACUGGAACUGAGACACGGUCCAGACUCCUACGGGAGGCAGCAGUGGGGAAUAUUGCACAAUGGGCGCAAGCCUGAUGCAGC